rnacentral:rRNA from 1 species
ACCCGCUGAACUGAAGCAUCUCAAUAAGCGGAGGAAAAUAAACUAACUAGGAUACUCUUAGUAAGUGCGACCGAAGAGAGUAAAGCUCGAUAAUUUAAAAUCUUUUUAUGAAGAUUAAUGUAAUUUUUUAAACUUAUUAAUUAAAAUAUUAAACUAUUGAUUAAAUACAUGGCUAUAAAGAGUUUAAGCCUCGUUACAAUUAUUUUAAUUAAGCAUAGGUUUAAAUAAAAGAGUCGGAUAGCUUGAGAAUGCUAUCUUAAAAUAGGUAGUACAUCCUAUCUAAAGCUAAAUAUCGUAAAGAGACCGAUAGUAUACAAGUAGUGUGAACGAAAGAUGAAAAGAACUCCUGAACGGAGAGUUAAUAGCGCCUGAACUUGUUUAGGGUAAGGUAUUUCAUUAAUACACCCGUCUUGAAACACGGAUUAGGGAGUUUGACUAUAAUACGAGUAUUUAAUUAUUAAAAUUUAAAUGCGAAAAGAAAUUAACUGCUCUUUUUUUUGGAGAUGGCUAUAGAGUAUUAUUGUCAAAACCCGAAUGGAGGUGAACUAUGCCUGUACAGAUUGAAGUCAGGGGAAACUCUGAUGGAAGAUCGUCAGCGUUAUUGAUGUGCAAAUCAUUUGCUUGAUAUGGGUAUAGGUGCGAAAGACUCAUCGAACCUCCUAAUAGCUGGUUUCCUCCGAAUUUUCCCUAAGGAUAGCUGUAAUAUUUAUUAAUAGUUAAGGAGAGUAGAGAAAUGGGUAGAGGUGUAGUGGAACUCCGGUUCUGCAACUUAUUUCCAAACUUCGAACCUUCUUAAAAUGAAUAAUUUUUCUUAAAGAAAUUAAUCAUCUUUGAAUAUAUAUUACAAGUGGGCUCUUACCGGUAAGCGGUUAUGGCGAAAAGGGAUGAACCUAACGUAUAGAUAAAGUGCCUAAAUUUACUAUUAAUGAAACCAUUAAGAGAGUCCAUGUAUUUAGACAGCGGGUCGGUGCCCCUAAAAGCAGGUAUCCGUUAAUGAGUGUGUUAAAACUCCCCCGCCGAAUACUCUGGCCUCGAAAAUGAAUGGCGCAUAUAGUAAUUACUGAUACUAUACAAAUAAUUUUUAAUUAAUUAUUUAGUAGGGGGAUGUGAAUAACUUGAAGAAUUUUUAAAUGUAAAUUUAAAUUAAAAGUUAUUUAUUACAAAUCCUAAUUGAAGUAGCGAUUAUCCAGGUUAAAAUCCUGGGGGCUGAUGAGGAGUAGGGUUUCUGGGCAACUUAAAUAGACCCAGAGUUAGUCGAACCUAAUUUCAAUAAAGAAAGAAAGGGAAUAUGAAUGAUAUUUCAUAACUAAAAAUUUUUUUUAAUAAAUAGUGGUAACACAAAUUUAAAAAAUUAUCAAUAUUAAUUAAAUACUGUAAAUAAUAGGGAUUUCUUUCCUAUAUAACUUUAAUUAUUUCCUAAGAAUCAAAUCAAUUGGAGAAUAGUUGAAAUAAUUUAGUAAAACUUAAAAUUCGUUUUAAGUUACGGCUAUUUAAUUAAUCCUUGAAAAGAUAAUUUAAACGAAAAAAUUUUUACUCGUACCGAUAACCGCAUCAGGUCUUCAAGGUAAGUAGCUUCUGGCCAUUAAGUUAUAAUAAUUUAGGGAAUUCGGCCAAUUAGAGCUUUAACUUCGGGAUAAAGCUUGGCUCUGAUGGAAAUCAGAACCGAUAGUUACAAGGAGAGCCCAACUGUUUAAUAAAAACUUAGUAUUAUGUAAUUACUAAUAAAAGUAUUAAACAUAAUAUGAAUCCUGCUCAGUGCUGUGUUUGUUAACUUGGAAAAAUUCAAUUAAGCGCCGGUAAAUAGCUGGGGUAACUAUGACUCUUAUCAAAGUAGCGAAAUACCUCGUCACUUAAUUAGUGACCUGCAUGAACGGAGCUAUGAGGUUCUCACUGUCCCAAAUUAUUACUUAGCGAACCAACAGUUGUGGG